rnacentral:rRNA from 1 species
GGGGGGGGGGGGGGGGGGGGGGGGGGCGGGCGGGGCGGGCGGGGGGGCGCGGCGGUGGUGGGGUGCGCGGGUGGCGAGCGGGGGAGUGGCACGUGAGUAGCCUGCCCUUGACUUUGGGCUGACUUCCGGCGCCUGGGGCUAAUACCGGAUCGGCGCUCCUGCUGCAUGGUUGGGGUUGGAAAGUUUCGGCGGUUGGGGAUGGACUCGCGGCGUAUCAGCUGGUUGGUGGGGUAGUGGCUUACCAAGGCUUUGACGGGUAGCCGGCCUGAGAGGGUGACCGGCCACAUUGGGACUGAGAUACGGCCCAGACUCCUACGGGAGGCAGCAGUGGGGAAUAUUGCACAAUGGGAGGAAGCCUGAUGCAGCAACGCCGCGUGCGGGAUGACGGCCUUCGGGUUGUAAACCGCUUUCGCCUGUGACGAAGCGUGAGUGACGGUAAUGGGUAAAGAAGCACCGGCUAACUACGUG